rnacentral:piRNA from 1 species
GGGCUGCAAUUCAGCUUUCCUGCGGU